UGGGUCGGUCAGGCAAGUCCCCAGCUUCUAGGCCCCUGGGCCCAACCUGGCUUGUUACCAUAGAGACGGAAGACCAAGGCAACCCUCCACACUCAAUUCCAUCAGCAAUAACAGAGAAGACCACAAAGAGAAAGAAAAUGGAUAAAGAAAGGCACUAAGAAAGAAUAUGGAGAGUGAAAAUGAGAGGCAGGAUCUUGCAGCCUUCAUUGGGUCAGCAUUGCCGAAUUUAAGCACAAAUGAAGUUCUCCUAGAUGCUUUAAAGACAUUGGGUGUGGAGGGCCUGGAAGACUUUAAAUAUGUAAAUGGAGAAGAUCUUCUGCAUGUCCUGAAGCCUGUUGAAGCAAGGAAGCUAAUAGCCCGCUUUAAAGUAAAAUGUGAAGAAUCCAGUUUCCCUACACCAUCCACACCAAAAAGUGUGCCUGCCAGUCCAAGGUCUUAUGUAGAGGAAUCACCUGGAAUGACUUCUGCGGUUCCAAGACCGGCAUCCAAGGUCACCAGUGGCUGGAUCCUCAGAGUCAAAUUCGAGUGCUUGCUCCACACCACAUAGACCAGCAACAGGGGAUAAUGAUUGGCAUUUCAGUUUUUCUGUGCCAUGGCACAGGAUGGCACCAGAGGUCUUACUAAAGCUGGAGCAUCAAGUGUGCCCAACUGCUGGGGAGGAGCAGGAAAUAAUUAGAAUUCUUGUCAGUGAAAUUCUUACCUGCUGUGCCAACCCUGGAAAAAAAACAUUUGAACGAAGUAGGCAGGCAGAUGGUUCUUAAAUACCCCAAGUCUUUUAAGGAUGUGAUGGAGGACCGGGUAAUCAGAAGUGGCUAUGAUUCCCUUGUCAAGCAAAUACAGUGCAGAAUCAACAAUCUAAAAAGAACAAGCACUCCCAUAUCAAGAAGAAAAGCCAGUAGCAGUCCACCUGAAGAACCAGCCACAAAAAGAGUUUGCCAUGACAGCUAUGACUGUAUCAACUGGCAACCAAGAAGGCUGUUAGCCAAUGAAAUGGAGUCACUAAAAAAGCUGCAAGAGGAACUGUAUAGGAUGUUCCAUAACCAGAGUAAAGACCAGAGCAAGAUUAAUAAGUUCAUGAAGGAAACAUUUUCCACCCAGAGACAACACAUCCUAGAAGGAAUGGAAACCAGCGACCUGCUGGAAGCAUGACUGAAUCUUUUUGACAUAAAGGGAAUAGAAGAACAUUUUACACAGUUGACAGGUGUUGACCUUGAUGAUGAAUUUCAUCAGGCCAUGUCUGCUAAAUUUGAAAGAAUAGCGACCUACCUAAAAUCUCUUCUGGACAAAAUUCAACAAAGAAAGCUGGACAAUGUGAUCAACAGCACAAGCAUACCGACUGCUGUAAUGUUGUUGCUUUGGUUUUUCAACAAGGAUGACAAACAAAUGUUUUUUUUCCCACGGCACGCAGGAACUAGCGCCAUGGGCUAUGCGUGGCAAAUUGUGGUCACUCACUCUCUCACUCACUCACGGACAACCUUUGAGGGA